rnacentral:rRNA from 1 species
AUUCACGCUGGCGGCGUGCAUAACACAUGCAAGUCGCACGAUGAAACUUAAAUGAUUUCUUCGGAAUGAACUUAAGUGGAUUAGUGGCGGACGGGUGAGUAACGCGUGAGUAACCUGCCUUACACAAGGGGAUAGCCGUUGGAAACGACGAAUAAUACCCUAUGAAACUAUCACUUCGCAUGAAGCGAUAGUCAAAGUGUUAGCGGUGUAAGAUGGACUUGCGUCUGAUUAGCUAGUUGGUGAGAAAAAAGCCCACCAAGGCAACGAUCAGUAGCCGGCUUGAGAGAGUGUACGGCCACAUUGGGACUGAGACACGGCCCAGACUCCUACGGGAGGCAGCAGUGGGGAAUUUUGCACAAUGGGGGAAACCCUGAUGCAGCGACGCCGCGUGAUUUAGAAGGCCUUCGGGUUGUAAAAAUCUUUUGUAUAGGAAGAAAAUGACAGUACUAUACGAAUAAGGUCCGGCUAAUUACGUG